UCUGGCCAUCGCAGGAUUUCUCUUUGGAGGAUUACUUGUCUUUCAGCAUCACCCACGUAUGAACUUAGAAUACAACAACCCAUUUUAACUUGUUUCCAUAUUAUUGGUACAGGGUGAUCCCUCUGUGAAUGCUACCUGGUUUUUUUUAACUCAUCCAUCAGCUAGACACAGACUUCCCCAACCUCCUGACUGUGGGUGUGGCUGAUGGUGGAUAACAUGGGGGUCUGAGUCACCCACUCAUCCGGAUAACUUGAGCCCUCUGGCCUUACUUGUGCCCCGUCUUGGAUACAGCAUCUACCCCGGAACAGACUGCUAUUGGAUCCAUUGUCAUUUUAAUGUGAAGCAUCUGACAAAACUCAGACUGCACUUGCUGCAGAGCUCUUUCCCGAGUCCCAUUCAAACCCAGCAGUAUCACCUGAUAUAUGGGUCAGGUAAGUACUUUCAAGUUUCAAAUACACAUCCUCCAGAACCCAGAUAGGAUUACCAAGCACUUUUAAAAAUCCUCAUCACUGAGAUCUGUGACAUGUAAUUAUCUUUCAUUUUUGAGGGGAUAUCUUAGCAUGCUCCUAAGAGCCUUACUGAUAUGGUAUGCCAUUGAAUAUUUGUCUCCUACCCCUUGGAAUACAUAUGGCUAUAAAGGCAUCCAAAAUACUGUGACCUCUUAGCCAUCUGGAAUAACGAACCUAGUUCUGAAGACAUAGCUGAUGUGCUGUUUAUCAGAUGUCUGACUGGGUCACAUCUCUUCAGACAUAUGAGAGGCUGAGAGAGUAAACAGUGCCAGAUAGACAUAUAUACUGUUGUCCAUCCCAAGUGGAUGCAAAUUCAUGAUCUUUUCUGGUAAAAAUGAAAAAGAACACAUAUAGUGGCUCAAUGGACACAUGCCAUAUACCACAGGCCAUGAAAAUCUGCUCCAGCACUUACACCUCCUCUCUCCUGGCAUCUAUCCAUGUGCCUACUAGUUGAGUCCAGAGCGGGCAGAUUAGCAAAUUAAACAUAUGAUGGAGUCCACCAUGCCUGCAUCCUUUGAGUCAUUAGUUUCUGCAUUUAUUUCUGCUGUUCUCAUAGAUGUUUUUCAAAUUUACUGGCUUAGAUGGUCUGAAGUAGGUUCAGAGGCCUCUAUUUGGCCUUCCUCACUAUAUUUUUGUUCUGUUUGUGACAAACCUAGACAGUGUAUUAAGAAGCAAAGACAUCACUUUGCUGACAAAGGGCUGUAUAGUCAACGCUAUGAUCUUUC
ensembl:lncRNA